GAUCAUGGCUCAGAUUGAACGCUGGCGGCAGGCCUAACACAUGCAAGUCGAACGGUAACAGGAAGCAGCUUGCUGCUUUGCUGACGAGUGGCGGACGGGUGAGUAAUGUCUGGGAAACUGCCUGAUGGAGGGGGAUAACUACUGGAAACGGUAGCUAAUACCGCAUAACGUCGCAAGACCAAAGAGGGGGACCUUCGGGCCGUCUUGCCAUCGGAUGUGCCCAGAUGGGAUUAGCCAG
rnacentral:rRNA from 1 species